rnacentral:rRNA from 1 species
UACGUAGGGGGCUAGCGUUGUCCGGAAUCAUUGGGCGUAAAGCGCGUGUAGGCGGCCCGGUAAGUCCGCUGUGAAAGUCCAGGGCUCAACCCUGGGAUGCCGGUGGAUACUGUCGGGCUCGAGUCCGGAAGAGGCGAGUGGAAUUCCUGGUGUAGCGGUGAAAUGCGCAGAUAUCAGGAGGAACACCAAUGGCGAAGGCAGCUCGCUGGGACGUGACUGACGCUGAGACGCGAAAGCGUGGGUAGCAAACAGG